AAUUCGGUUUUUAAGUGAAAGGGUCUCACGCAGAGAAAACCGAUAUUGUUUGUUUAAAUUUGAUCAACAUAUUUAGUGACCGCUUGACUGAGAGUUUAAAAAAUCAAAUUCUUUUGGACAUUUUGCUUCGUUUUGUGUAAAAAUGGGUUAUACCAUAUCCUCCAAAAUAAGUGCAUACAUUUUUAAAACUUGAUGCAACUAAGAAAAUUGUAAAUGCAAUGUUUGCGGAUUAAAAUAAACUACCUCGUCACCCUCUCUGA